rnacentral:lncRNA from 1 species
ACACAAUUCUAAUGGGUUGGGGUAUCAAGUGCUACCUGGCUGGAUCUCUCAGGAGCAUGGAUUCUCUCAGGAGGUUAUAGGCAAACUAUCAGCCAUCUUGUCCACGGUCAUAUGGAGCCAUGGUCUUCAUACCCUGUACCAGCCAGCACCAGUUGACAGUGAGUUAUGCUGAGCAGACACUACUGUGGACAGAUAAGCAAGCUGUCCAGCUACCCCAGUAACCUCUCAAACAGUCUCCCUGUGAAGAAGACAGACCCAGGUCUCUGGGUGGGAGGCUGCCAACUUUUUGGAAAAGGCCUUUCCUGCAACUACUGUGUGGGCCUCGGCAAAGGCGAGGGUGACGGGAACAGCAAGGUUUCAUGGGAGAUAUCACCAACAGUAACAGUUUUAAACAUU